GGCAGCAGCGGGUCCCGCAGCCCCUGGAUGGACGGAGUGUCCAAGGGCUUGAUCUGGUGGUGCUGGGAACUUCUUAGCGGAGUGACUUCCUGGGUGGCCCCGGAGCAAUCUGGGUUUCCCGCACCGUUGCCAGUUGCUGCUCUACAGCCUGGAGAAGCUGGAGGCUGCAGCCUCUCCGCCCUGCAAGGGACUUUUUCCUGCAAACAGAUGCCACAGCCUUUCCCUCUGCAAAAAGGCAUACGCUUCCCGCAAGCAGGAGACGUGCGAGACGGGCAGCAGCACAAACCCGGAGCGGCGGCUUUGUGCUGGAGGAUUUGCGGCCGCAGGAACGUGCUGGGCUCUGCACAGCUUCGCCCAACACCAGCUCCCAGAGCCCCACGUCUCUGCGAGCACAACUUGCUUUUGCCAUCUAGUGGCUGUCCCAGAAAGGCUCAGAAAUGGACCUGGGGAGCCAAGGUGGAGAUGGAAGAGGUCAGGAAUGGAAAAGCCAGGGAGAAAUGUAUGGGGGGAGGUGUCUGUGCUGUCCAAGCCACUUUUUUUUCCAAGUUACAGACACGAACAUGAGACCGGCCUGCCAGGCUUUGCAGAGCACCCUGCUGGUACAGAAAGGCUAGCGUCGGGGUUCUUCAGCCUGCGCGGCCCGGCCAGAGCGUGGCCUCCCCGGUGCGACACCGCCAGCGCCGCGGGCGCGCUCGGCUGGGCGUUCGCACCGUCCGGCGGCCGAGCGCCCGCCACGGGCCGCAGAACCCGCACCCGGAGGUGCGAAUGGCUGCGCGCAGCCGCCUGGAAGCCCUCGCCGGGGCGCGUCGGGGGCUUUAAUACACGCGGUAGCACGGGCGCCUUGGCACUGGCGCGGUUUGCCCUUGCACGUGCGCCUGCUCCCAGCGAAGCCAUGCCUCUGCUUCUACGGUCACGCUUUAACCCGCAGCCCACACCUGCCCGGGGUGGAAAAAGCUCUGGGUACCCACGGCUUCGCACAGCUUGUGUCCGCGGGGGGGCCGGGGGCCGGCUUUGGCUGCUUCUACGUCAGGCUUUUGGUGGCCUCAACUCAAAAGUGUUGCUGCUUUCUUUUUCUAUCUUUCUUUCCAUAUUGUCAUUCCUGCUGAAUUUGGAAGCGAUGACGGGAUUCACCCUCUAUCUAGUUCAGGAGCGUUUAAAAUAAACCCAGUGUGUAAAGUGGGCACCUUCCUCUGCUCGGCUUUUCAUGCCAGCACCCUGCCCCUUUCCCAGGAGCCGCCGCGGAGCCGGCCCUCUCCGCCCCGGCAGACGGCACCCCGCAAAGCCCCACCGGCCCCCUGGCCAAAAGGGAACUGGCAGCUUUUGUUGCGAUUAAAAUACCACACGGAUCUGCUGCACUUUUGUUUUGAAAUGCUUGAAUGCAUUAGCAUUGAUUUUUUUUUAAUACAACCAACCACCUGUGAUUUUUUGAAUACCGUUUCUAUUCGUCCUCUUUGGCAGAGGUAAUUCUAACGCUGCUGUUGCGCUGCCCCGGAGCGGGUCGGCGGCACCGGGUACUGGUGUGGGUCUGAAAUGCACUGCUCUGCCCCAACGGCACGAAAUACGGCCUGUAUUAGGUGCUCCUACAUAGCUGCGCAUGUGGUGGGGCACCUGAGGCGAUGGAAAAGCCUUUUCUCUUUUUUCCCCUUAAUUUCACCUGGCCUUAGCACCCGAGAGGAGCGAGGCCGCGGCCUGCCUACUGCCCGCAGGGCUGCAACGGGAGCCGAGCGGGCCAAGGCCGCCGGCCCCGCAGGUCGCCCCUUCCCUGCUCGGCUGCCCGCAGGAGGGCCGCAGCUCGCCCGGCUCCCGCACCCACGGCACGGGCAGGAUCGCACCAGGCGACCGAGCCCCUCCUUUAAGUCCGUUUGCUUACGUGGCUUAUUUUUCUCCUGAAUAAUUAUUUUUAAAGGAAAACUUAAUUUUGUUUAAUGGGAACAGAGUUUAACACUCCAUAAGCUUUGUCUUCCGCCGCCCUCCAUCUGGUAAGCUUUUUCUUUUUCUUUUUUUUUUUAAAUUAUUUUUAAACCGGCCCAGUAAAUCGUGUGUGUUUAAGAGGCACUUCUCGUUCAGAUGAAGUACUUUGAUCUCACAGGAUCAUCUGUUUUUAAAGAGCUAAUGCUCUGCUACCUCCCACCCACCCCGCCACCUCCCAGGAGCGACUGUGCCCCCCGAUCUGCCCCGGCGCCGGCUCUGCUCUGACCCGCACGGGGCAAACGGAGCCCCUCGGAAGGGAAAAGGGGUCGGGAGCAGCGCUCCGAGAGGGCACAGCAGGGACCGUUAAGAAGUAAGGGACAAAUCAUCUCAGGAAAGGGAACCAUUUCAUGUAUUUAUUUAUUUAUUUUUAAGUACAGAUGGUGUGGGGGGAAAAAAAGGCCGCGGGAAGACCAAGAGACGGGGUGUACUAUAUAUAGCCGUACAGCUGCUUCCUUCAGGUGUUGUAACUCAAAAACGUAGGAUGAUUAAUUUUGAAAGUCGAAAUGUAUAGCAGAUUCUGAUUACAUCUGAGUGUCUAUAAUUUAGCUACUUAGUAAAAUUAACUUGACGUUUUUAGUGAGCCGCGAGGACAAUAAUGUGUGAAGAGACUGAAGAACAGGUUCGCCUGCAUGCUCUUCCCUUACCUCCCCCCUUUUUCUUCCACUUUGCAAAGUU